GGAAUAUUGGUCAAUGGACGCAAGUCUGAACCAGCCAUGCCGCGUGCAGGAUGACGGUCCUAUGGAUUGUAAACUGCUUUUGUACAGGAAGAAACACUCCUUCGUGAAGGAACUUGACGGUACUGUAAGAAUAAGGAUCGGCUCACUCCGUGCCAGCAGCAGCGGUAAUACGGAGGACCCAAGCGUUAUCCGGAAUCAUUGGGUUUAAAGGGUCCGUAGGCGGUUUAGUAAGUCAGUGGUGAAAGCCCAUCGCUCAACGGUGGAACGGCCAUUGAUACUGCUAGACUUGAAUUACUAGGAAGUAACUAGAAUAUGUAGUGUAGCGGUGAAAUGCUUAGAGAUUACAUGGAAUACCAAUUGCGAAGGCAGGUUACUACUAGUUUAUUGACGCUGAUGGACGAAAGCGUGGGUAGCGAAC
rnacentral:rRNA from 1 species